UCUACAGUUAUAUACAAACAGAUAAGAAGAUCAACCCUGAGCUGCAUUAUUUCACCUUUCAAACCAUCUCAUCUGCCACAAACAAUUUCUCAAGCACUAAUAAGCUAGGACAGGGUGGUUUUGGAUCAGUUUAUAAGGGAAAAUUAGUUGAUGGGCAAGAGGUUGCUGUAAAACGACUUUCAAGAAGCUCUGAACAUGGAGUCAAGGAGUUUAAGAAUGAAACCGAAAUAGUCCAUAACCUGUCUUUUGUGAAUAUGAGUCCCUAGCUAACACAAACUCCCAAACAAUAACUCUUGGUUUGAAAUAAAACAAUGGUCCACUUUUGAGUUUUGAAGUUUUUUUUCUUCAACUUUGACCUUAAAUAUAUUUAUUUGUAUUACA